AUGUAGCAAGUAAAUAUUAAAUACUGCUGUCAUGUUAAGAAAGAAGCUUCUUUUUUAUGUCAACUCAUUUUGAAUAAGCCACAUGUGAUGAGCAUUUCUCUUUUGCCUUUUGGUUAAGAAAGAGUUUUUCUUAUUCAUAAAUACUUUCAUAUUCUACAUUCUCAGUUGAAAUUCACACAUGUUGUUUCAAAGAGACAUCCUCGUCAUUGCCACGUAACCAGAGAAUGCAUUCUUGAAAGAAAUCUUAAUUUUGUUUCAUUUUUAAGCUGUUUGUAUCUACAACUCUGGCAUGCGUUGUUGAACACAUUCAGUUCAAGGCAAGAAAUUGCAGGGGCUCUUGCUGUACAGCAGAAUGUACAAGAGGCCUUAAUAUCACGGGUUCACUUCACUUCUUAAAUUAAUGAUUCCAAAUAAAAUAUUGAAGGUUUGUUCAUUUACUUCCUAAAUUAAAUUACAUGGAGAAAAAGUGCUAAAACAUUACUAGUUUUAGCAGUAUUUUUCCCAUGUAUGGGUUGAGGUUAGGCUUCUCUUGCAGAAAACCUCCCUUAAGAGGAUAUUUGCCAGCUACCAGGGAUUAUCCAUAUCUAUUCACUGCAACUGCACUAGCCUGUGCUACAUUCUCUGGAGGAUUUUUGUUUGUUGUGCAUCUUGUUAUUACUCUUACUUUUAACUUGUUGAUGCUGCCAGUUGUAAAGCCCUCUACUCUGAAGUUUGGACAAGACAAAUUCUCGGGGAUUCAUGAAAAAAAACUUUGUGGCAAUAUCUCAGAUUUUAAAAUUACAGUAAUGAGAAACGUUACACUAAAUUUGAAGGAUUAGGUUUCCUUUUGUAGUCCACUUCUAAAAUAUUUUAUUUCAGAAACAGAGUGACUGAAGAACUUAAUUUUCCCUUAUUCACAUUACAUACCUAAUUUUCUUUAUUCUCCUAUUUGAAUAUCUGACAUCUGAAAGUUCUAUUUCCCAAAUUUGCCUAUUUUGUUAUGUCCAUCUUCAUUGCUUUAGUCUAUGAUACUGUUCAUUUUCAUUCCACUUAAAAUCUAAAUGGAUAUUUUCAUGAUUUUUAGUUAUUCUGAUACUUCUUCUGUUUAUUGAUCGGUUCGGUGCAGUGUAUAAAACACUGCUUAUCAGGCAAGAUUGAAACACAUUGGAGUCACUGACUUACCAUUUCAGUGUUGCAGACAACAGAGUGCAUGACAGCUACUUUGUGGCUUGUCUUGGCAUCUUAGGCUCCUUCUGUUUUCUUCCCUUUUGACAUUUUUCAUUCUUUAUAUAUUCAGGUUGACUUAGAGAAUUAGAAAGUUUAGGAUGUUUUCUGUGUUUAGAUUCUACUUGUAAACGCUGCUUCAAGGUUACCGUGAGCCCUGAAGGAUGCCUGCUCAGAACAGCUAAUUCUUCUCUAAUGUUCCCCAAAUCAGCCCUCAGGUGAUGUUUAUUAAAAGAAUUAAAAUUUUAGGAAAGUCUGAAGGAGAAUAUGUGAGGUUUGUAAAGUAUGGGGAAAUAAUAGAACACUGGCUGAAAAUACUAUUUCUAUUUUAAUACUGUGUUUUCCUCACUGCAGAUGCUUGUGAAACUACCUGUAUUUCUUUUUGCAAAGUUGAAGGCAGUUCUAAGACAACACUAACCAAUCAUAGUUUCCACAAAUUAAAUUGCCUAAUCAAUAAUUUAUAUUCCUUAGUGAAAAGGAACAAAGGCCUCUUCAAUCCCAUGGGAGUUACACAGAAAACAAGCAGGAAAUGCUCAUCAUCAAGUGGAAAAGGUAUGGAAGAUUUGAACUUGAAAAUACACCGGGCUUUGGAUACAAAUCUCAUUCAUAGGUCAAGAAAGAAGUUGUUAUAGAAACCUUAUUGUGAAAAUUAAGUUGUUCCUGUUCAGAGAGCUGGGACUAAGUAUUUCCUGGUUUAGUACUUUAUGUAGCAAAAUACUACAGAAAUUACUGGUGGUUUAGAUAUCUAUUUAGAUUCUGUCCCUCCCUCUUCUAAUUUAUAACCAUAAAUUACACAGAUUUACACUGUCUUUCCACCAUCAAGGUCUGUCUUUCAGCUCUUUGUUUCCUAAGGUAAUUUGUUUGCUUCCUUCUCACUUUAUUCAUAUUGGUUCCACAACAUCUCACUUGGGCCUUUAGGCUCUUGGCUUUCUUGUGUAUUGCUAACAUUCCCAUGGGCAGUUCCAGCAAAUGUAAAAAAAUGAAAGAAGAAGAUGAAGAAAGCCAAAGGAGAGUAUUUCAAUGACAGAGCUCUUGGCUUUGUGUCUCUCACCCCAUACCCUCAGCCUCUUCCACAUCAUCUUCAGAGCCAAAUUCGGCUUUGAUUCUCAGACUUUCAUUGCUGUGGAACCUGAAAAAUCGCGUCCUACCCUACAUUACUCAAAAUGGAGUACCUGUAUGUCACACUAAUUAAAGAUAAAAAAGACCAAUAAUUUGUGCAUUACAAAGAAACCAAGCUGAUGUGACUGUGUCUUUAUGGUGAGGUCUGUUUCCUGUGAACAGCUGUUAUGGGUAAAGGCAGGGCUAUCAAUCAUUUACCUUUUCUGCUGUGUUAAUGUCAUAGCAGUGAGUGGGAAAUGUCAAAGGAAAAUGGCUUUUCAAAUAAAAACAAUUUUGUAAUUCAAUCAUAUUUGACUGACCAUUUCCUGCAGUUAAAUUCUCUAGAUUUAAAUAACUGUCAACAAUCAAUAAUGAAUUAUAUAAACAUGAUUUUCUUUCGGUUUGAUCUCUUACUAAAAUGUGUCUAUUCAUUAACAAAAAGCUCUGGCUUAGAUAAGGCCAGGCACAGACACACCGGUUUAUGCUCGGUUGACUGAAUCUUUAAUAGGGCAUAUCAGUGAACUUUCUUGCCAGCUACACUUGCUGUGUCCUUAGCAUUCUCAGAAAUCGCUUCAAAUAUUGCAGGAGCAGUUUACCACAGAUACGAUAUACCUAAUCCCAGGAUUAAUUUUGUAUGCCCAUCAGUACUGAAGCAGGGUGGAUUUAAUAGCCCAUUAGCUUUUCAGCAUGAUAAUUUUCACAUCACUUAGCCUGCUGGGCUAAUUGUUUUAAAAUGGAUAUUAUUGACCUCAGUCCUAGUGACAAAUAGAGAAUGUCUUAUCCAUUUUCCAAAUGUACAUUCUUAGACUCUUGUUUCUUUUGGUCUUGACUGACAAUAAAUCCCAUACAUUAUGUGCCUGAAUAUUAUAAUUUAUACUCUAUAGGCUCAUAUUUUUGGGCUUACUAAAGCAACAUCUCUCUGCUAUUACCCAUGACUUGGCUAAGAUUUAAUUUUUGUUUUUUUUUUUUUUCUGUGAAAUGUUGCAAGCAUAAGAAAUCAUUGCUUUAUCUCUUGUUAAAAAUUAUUUUUAAUGCUAAAAGCUGUAGCAGGUGCAGCAGGGAUUAAGCACUUUUGGAAUAAACAGCUGGCCAGUAUCUUUCCAACCACAGAAGUCUGGUCAUCAGGAAGAGAGAACGAAGAACAAAUUUGGACAGAGAAACUGUAGGAAAGGAAAAGCAGAUUCUGGGGUAGAGAAAUAGCAAAAUCUAUCAGGAAGAAGAAAACCAAAGAGUAAUGCUGAAGAACGGAGUUUUUAUUCAUGUGUAUUAUUUGUGAGUUUUUUCCCUUAGUAAUUUAGAGAAAACACAAGCCAUCUGCUUUGAGGGAACUUGUGCUAGCUGCGAGCAGCAAGAAAUAGAAAAGCAGGGAGCAGAAUAGUGAUGCAAGUUACAGUGUUGCUUGUGAGGAGGUGAAACAGGGCUGGAAGCUAAUGUAGCUAGCUUUCACACCUAUAUGUGUCAACAGCAUAACACAUACGUUUAUACAUAGGUGGUUGUAUUUCUCCUGCACCGAUUCCUGUGGGAAACAAGAUUUAGAUGCUUGACUGUAGGAACUCAAGGUUUGGAACAGAUAUGCUCACAGUCUCUAGAAGUACCCAAAUCCAACAGAGUUUCUGGGUAUUUG